rnacentral:lncRNA from 1 species
AGACAGACAUCACUCUUUAGAAUCCCUGCAACUUUGAGCAAGUUCGUGAAUCUCACUAAGGCUCAGUUUCCUCCAUAAAAUUAAUCAAUAUCAGGGCCUCUGCAUUGGACAACUCCAGAGGGCACCAUUGGGGUUAUACCUUGUGUUUGCCUAACCUUCAUUGCAGUGGGCAGGUGCAUGCUUUCUACAAUGUCCUAAGGUCUAAAGGGGUAGAGUUCUGUGUGUGGCAUUUUAGGCCUGGAAAGGAUGAGAGUCUACAAAACCAGAGAAAUACUGCAGCCAUUGGUAAGAAGCACACAUGACAACCUGGACUUUCCAUCAACAUUUGAAGCGGGAGCAGUCUUGUGGGAUCAAGCUCUUAACCUGUGGGGUCUGCUACUAACUCUGAGAUCCCAGACCACCACCCAUGAUCCCAGGCUGGAGGAAGCAGCAGGCUAGCGGAAUUCAGGACCAAUGAGCCAGGAAAGAGGACCCAAUGCAGAGCUCACAUCCCACCCUCCUUCCCCCAUGACAAAGCACUGGCAAACCCUGCCAAAGAAGAAGCUUGGCUGCAAAGCAGUCUGGAACUGGACCCGGGAUAGAUUCACCAGGAGCUCACCACCACAGGGAAUGCUGCACUUUGACUGGACAGAAUGCAUCCUCCAUGCCCACAGAGCAUGUGCCCAGGAUGAAUCUCACUGUAUCCCAGUUCCUCAUGCUUGGCCCCAAACCUCUUUUUCACAGUAAUAAAGAAAACACACUUUACAAAAA